rnacentral:rRNA from 1 species
UACGAAGGGGGCUAGCGUUGCUCGGAAUGACUGGGCGUAAAGGGCGCGUAGGCGGUUUGUACAGUCAGGUGUUAAAUUCCCGGGCUCAACCUGGGGGCUGCACUUGAUACGUAGGAACUGGAGUGGGGAAGAGGGUCGUGGAAUUCCCAGUGUAGAGGUGAAAUUCGUAGAUAUUAGGAAGAACACCAGUGGCGAAGGCGGCUCACUGGCCCGGUACUGACGCUGAGGAGCGAAAGCCAGGGGAGCAAACGGG